rnacentral:rRNA from 1 species
AUUGAACGCUGGCGGCAUGCCUUACAAAUGCAAGUCGAACGGUAACAGGUUAAGCUGACGAGUGGCGAACGGGUGAGUAAUGUAUCGGAACGUGCCCAGUCGUGGGGGAUAACUGCUCGAAAGAGCAGCUAAUACCGCAUACGACCUGAGGGUGAAAGCGGGGGACCGUAAGGCCUCGCGCGAUUGGAGCGGCCGAUAUCAGAUUAGGUAGUUGGUGGGAUAAAAGCUUACCAAGCCGACGAUCUGUAGCUGGUCUGAGAGGACGACCAGCCAAAGUGGGCCUGAGACACGGCCCAGGCUCCUCCUGGAGGCAGCAGUGGGGAAUUUUGGACAAAGGGCGCAAGCCUGAUCCAGCCAUGCCGCGUGCAGGAUGAAGGCCUUCGGGUUGUAAACUGCUUUUGUACGGAACGAAAAGACUCUGGUUAAUACCUGGGGUCCAUGACGGUACCGUAAGAAUAAGCACCGGCUAACUACGUGCCAGCCGCCGCUGUAAUAC